GAAAAAGUGUACGAUUUCAAGGGAUUAAGCUAAUAAAGGUGGUGAGCUCUCUAACAAAGGUAAAGAGGUUGUGCCCGAAGACCGAGAAUAGGAGUAUAUCGAACUCCUAGUACUGCCCGAGGUAGCCUGUGGAUUACAAAUAUCCUCAAGGAUUAUAGUUGGCUUUACUACUCCAAAAACUGUAGGUUUACUGCCUUUGUGCACUUCUGUUCCUUGUGGGCCCAUGAGUCACUGUAAAGUAAAUUUCAUAUCCCAGUUAUCUGUAUUAUAGUCC
rnacentral:sRNA from 1 species